UACGUAGGGAGCAAGCGUUGCCCGGAAUCAUUGGGCGUAAAGCGCGCGUAGGUGGCCUCAUAAGUCCGCUGUGAAAGUCAAAGGCUCAACCUUUGAAAGCCGGUGGAUACUGUGAGGCUAGAGUACGGAAGAGGCGAGUGGAAUUCCGGGUGUAGUGGUGAAAUGCGUAGAGAUCCGGGAGGAACACCAGUGGCGAAGGCGACACGCUGGGCCGUACCUGACGCUAAAGCGCGACAGCAUGGGGAGCAAACGGGG
rnacentral:rRNA from 1 species